UACGUAGGGGGCUAGCGUUGUCCGGAUUUAUUGGGCGUAAAGAGCGCGUAGGCGGCCGAGUAAGUCCGACGUGAAAUCUGGAGGCUCAACCUCCAGCGGUCGUUGGAAACUACUCGGCUAGAGUCCGGAAGAGGAGAGUGGAAUUCCUGGUGUAGCGGUGAAAUGCGCAGAUAUCAGGAGGAACACCAAUGGCGAAGGCAGCUCGCUGGGACGUUACUGACGCUGAGACGCGAAAGCGUGGGGAGCAAACAGG
rnacentral:rRNA from 1 species